UGGCCCUAUAGGAGAAAGCGAGAGGAAGGUUUGGGGGAGAAGUUACUCUGGGAAGCCAUAAGCAAUCCUGAAAAGAUGCGUUUUGAGGGACUUCUUAAAGGAUUGAAGACUAGGGGAGAGUCUGACAGGGGUAGGCAGGCUGUUCCAAAAGAAAGGAGCCGCCCGUGAGAAGUCUUGCAGGCGUGAAUUUGCAGUAAGGGUGCGAGCAGCAGA